UUCAAGAUAUCCUACGUUAUGACAGAUAUGACUACCAUCAAUGUUCUAAUAAAUUUAUUUAUUAUCAAAGGUGUUUUGAUUUUGUAAAAGAACAACCAUUCAUGGCUUGCAAAACUGCAAAAUCCGUGGUGUGCCCUUAAACAAAAAAGUAUUUCAGACCAUGGUUAUAAAUACUAGUGUAUUUUCCAUCUUAUUCUCACUACUAAUUCCAACUUGCAAAGAUGCAAAGCUACGGAAAAGCCAAACAAGUUGACAUAUAGACGAAAAAUGAAACGAUUUAUAGGAAAUCAAAUAUAUCAUAUAUCUAAAAUCAUACUGACAUGUGGCAAAACUGAGAUUUAUCCAUGAUAUAUGCAUAUAUAUACGCGGACACUACGCAUAUGUACGACACACACAAACCACCGUACGUGGCCAGCUAGCCCAACAGCUAGCUACAGCCUAGAGGCGUCGUCACCGUCGACAUGGCAGCAGCCAUGAUUCGUCGUCCCGGCGGCGAGCUCGGAGAGCACCCUGAGGAUCUCGAUCCUCGCCCGGAGUCGCACGAUGUAGUCGGCGGUGCGGAGGAGCAACCGGUCGGCCGGCACCGCCGUGCCGCCGGGCACCAGCCGCCGCAGCUCCCGCACCUUCCGACUCAUCAGCGUCGUCUCC
rnacentral:lncRNA from 1 species